rfam:Octopus bimaculoides Scaffold213292_contig_1, whole genome shotgun sequence.
UCCUCGGUAGUAUAGUGGUGAGUAUCCCCACCUGUCACGCGGGAGACCGGGGUUCGAUUCCCCUCCGGGGAG